GGCUUGGGAAUUAAAUCAGCAGUAGCAUAGGCAAGACCCAUUUUAAAACCAGCUGGGCUACACAGGAUAAGAGAGGUCAUCAGAAAUGUUCCAGGAUUCUCCCUGUUCUCAUCACUCGUCGACUCCAGUUCCACAGCCUCACAAAACAUCCUUAGAACUUGCUGAACAGAGAAAAGUUCUGAAGGACAGAUCUGGCUUCAGAUGAAGCUUUGUUAAGACAGACAUGAAAGCAGGAGGGAGAAGCAAUUGCAGAGUCGCUAACACAUAUGUGGCAAUGGCCCUGUGUCCUGAAAGAUGCCAGUUCUGUAUUGGGGGCGGGGAGGUUUCUGUAAGAGACUGUUUGUGUGAAUGAGGAAUGCAUGCAUCAGUAAAGAUAAGGUGUCGCAAAUAUCGCAAAUGUCCAAAUGGUCAAGGAAAAAGUGAGAGACUUGGAAAGACCAGGAGACAAUCAGAAAACAUCCAUUGUAUCAGAUGCUAAACAUGUUACAGCACUGAGGACCUCAGAGGUGAGGCAGGCACCCCCUAAGGCGAGACAACAAAUAGGAGAUAACGAUGGGAAGCCUGACAAUAACUUCAAAUGAUAACAGCAGAAAACCCCAAGAUUAAUGCCACUUAAGAACUAAUGAUUACAGGAUGACAUUGCAAAAUGCCUGGACUCAAAUGGAAAUUUACAACUAUAAAGAUUGGGGGUUUUGCCAUGGAACUCUGGGUUCAGUCCUGCAAAGCAUCGAAUCACGACCGACAGAGCCCAGCUCCUCACUCGUGCUCGUCUAA